UACGGAGGGUGCGAGCGUUGUCCGGAAUCAUUGGGCGUGAAGCGCGCGUAGGUGGCCAUGUAAGUCCGCUGUGAAAGUCAAAGGCUCAACCUUUGAAAGCCGGUGGAUACUGCAUGGCUAGAGUACGGAAGAGGCGAGUGGAAUUCCUGGUGUAGCGGUGGAAUGCGCAGAUAUCAGGAGGAACACCAAUAGCGAAGGCAGCUCGCUGGGACGUUACUGACACUGAGGCGCGAAAGCGUGGGGAGCGAACAGG
rnacentral:rRNA from 1 species